rnacentral:rRNA from 1 species
UUUUUCCUACGGGGCGCAGCAGUGGGGGAUAUUGCACAAUGGGGGGAACCCUGAUGCAGCGACGCCGCGUGGGUGGAGGAGCGUUUCGGCGCGUAAAGCCCUAUCGGCAGGGAAGAAGGAGGACGGUACCUGACUAAGAAGCCCCGGCUAACUACGUGCCAGCAGCCGCGGUAAUACGUAGGGGGCAAGCGUUAUCCGGAUUUACUGGGUGUAAAGGGGGCGCAGACGGCAGCGCAAGCCAGGAGGGAAAGCCCGG